rnacentral:rRNA from 1 species
GGCUGCAGUGGGGUACGGGCAGACUAGAGUGCGGUAGGGGAGAUUGGAAUUCCUGGUGUAGCGGUGGAAUGCGCAGAUAUCAGGAGGAACACCGAUGGCGAAGGCAGAUCUCUGGGCCGUAACUGACGCUGAGGAGCGAAAGGGUGGGGAGCAAACAGGCUUAGAUACCCUGGUAGUCCACCCCGUAAACGUUGGGAACUAGUUGUGGGGUCCUUUCCACGGAUUCCGUGACGCAGCUAACGCAUUAAGUUCCCCGCCUGGGGAGUACGGCCGCAAGGCUAAAACUCAAAGGAAUUGACGGGGACCCGCACAAGCGGCGGAGCAUGCGGAUUAAUUCGAUGCAACGCGAAGAACCUUACCAAGGCUUGACAUACACGAGAACACUCUAGAAAUAGGGGACUCUUUGGACACUCGUGAACAGGUGGUGCAUGGUUGUCGUCAGCUCGUGUCGUGAGAUGUUGGGUUAAGUCCCGCAACGAGCGCAACCCUCGUUCUAUGUUGCCAGCACGUAAUGGUGGGAACUCAUGGGAUACUGCCGGGGUCAACUCGGAGGAAGGUGGGGAUGACGUCAAAUCAUCAUGCCCCUUAUGUCUUGGGCUUCACGCAUGCUACAAUGGCCGGUACAAAGGGCUGCAAUACCGUGAGGUGGAGCGAAUCCCAAAAAGCCGGUCCCAGUUCGGAUUGAGGUCUGCAACUCGACCUCAUGAAGUCGGAGUCGCUAGUAAUCGCAGAUCAGCAACGCUGCGGUGAAUACGUUCCCGGGUCUUGUACACACCGCCCGUCAAGUCAUGAAAGUCGGUAAC